rnacentral:rRNA from 1 species
UACGUAGGGGGCAAGCGUUGUCCGGAAUCAUUGGGCGUAAAGAGCGUGUAGGCGGCCAGGUAGGUCUGGUGUGAAAACUCGAGGCUUAACCUUGAGAUGUCAUCGGAAACCAUUUGGCUAGAGUCCGGAAGAGGAAAGUGGAAUUCCUGGUGUAGCGGUGAAAUGCGCAGAUAUCAGGAAGAACACCAAUGGCGAAAGCAGCUUUCUGGGACGGUACUGACGCUGAGACGCGAAAGCGUGGGGAGCAAACAGG